UAACACAGAACUCAAACCAUUUGCGAAAACAAGUGCUUCUUCAGGCUUCUUAAUUCUGUGAAAGGGUACCAAAGCUACGAACAUAUUUGUGCUGGCGGUUUUUUGUACCAAAUAUAUAAAUAAAUAAAUAAAUAAACAAAGAAACA